CGUGCGUGAUGACCAUUCUUGCCUGACUCAGACAUGAAGGUGAAUUACUGAUUUAAUGAGCCUGAUGC